GCAUUGGUGGUUCAGUGGUAGGAUUCUCGCCUUUCAUGCAAGACACCUGGGUUCAAGUCACGGCUAAUAUG
rnacentral:tRNA from 1 species